AAAAACAUGUCUAUAUGGUUGUUAUAUAAAGUCUAGCCUGCCCACUGAUUUAGUUUAAAGGGCCGCGGUAUAUUGACCGUGCGAAGGUAGCAUAAUCAUUAGUCUUUUAAUUGAAGGCUUGUAUGAAUGGUUGGACAAAAAGUAAGCUGUCUCAAUUAUAAUAAUUGAACUUAACUUUUAAGUGAAAAGGCUUAAAUAAAUUAAGGGGACGAUAAGACCCUAUAAAGCUUGACAAUAAUUUAAUUAUACUAUCAAUUGUUAGUAUAACUUGGUUUUAAUUAAUAUUUGUUGCGUUGGGGCGACGAGAAUAUAAUAGGUAACUGUUCUUAAAUAUUUAAUAACAAAUAUAAUUGGAAAUUAGUAUGAUCCUCUAUUAGCGAUUAAAAGAUUAAGUUACUUUAGGGAUAACAGCGUAAUCUUCUUUGAGAGUCCCUAUCGACAAGAAGGUUUGCGACCUCGAUGUUGAAUUAAGGUAUCCUUAUGAUGCAGCAGUUAUAAAGGAAGGUCUGUUCGACCUUUAAAUCCUUACAUGAUCUGAUCU
rnacentral:rRNA from 1 species